AACGAACGCUGGCGGCAUGCCUAACACAUGCAAGUCGAACGAACCUUCGGGUUAGUGGCGCACGGGUGAGUAACGCGUGGGAAUGUGCCUCUGGGUGCGGAACAACGUCGGGAAACUGACGCUAAUACCGCAUAAUGUCUACGGACCAAAGAUUUAUCGCCCAGAGAUCAGCCCGCGUCUGAUUAGCUAGUUGGUGGGGUAAAGGCCUACCAAGGCGACGAUCCAUAGCUGGUCUGAGAGGAUGAUCAGCCACACUGGGACUGAGACACGGUCCAGACUCCUACGGGAGGCAGCAGUGGGGAAUUUUGGACAAUGGACGCAAGUCUGAUCCAGCCAUUCCGCGUGCAGGAUGAAGGGCCCUCGGGUUGUAAACUGCUUUGUACGGACGAAAGGUUUCUAUUAAUACUAGGAGCUCAUGACGGUACCGUAAGAAUAAGCACCGGCUAACUACGUGCCAGC
rnacentral:rRNA from 1 species